rnacentral:lncRNA from 1 species
AACAAAUUUAGUCAUGAUUUGACCGAUGGAUCUGGGAUAUAUACAUGAGCAGCCAUAAACAGCAAUACGCUAAUACGCGUUCCCUCUCAUUGGUUAUUGUCCAAAGUAAAAUUUAAAUUGCUACUACUACUAAACAUUGUUUGGCUGGCAAGACAUUAGACUCACGUUCACUCGAGGACUAACUUAUUUGAUUUCGAUGUUUAAAUCUAGUGGCCAGUAAUUUAAUUCCUAUUGAUGAAUUAUAUAUAUGUGAAUGGUUCCAACAAAAUCAUAUUUACUUAAUGUGAUCUAUUUGUUAAAAAUUUUUAUAAAACAUUAGAGGUAUUCUGUCAAUUAUAUAAUAAAUAAAUCAUAUUAUAAUAUAUAUAUAUAUAUAUAUAUAUGGCUAAUGCUAAGUUACAUGCAUGUAACUUACAACCCUCUCACAUGAUUAUGAAAAAUCAUUAUGUAAGUGAUGAUUAUAUUAAAUUUAAAUACACAUGUCAUACAUAUAUUAGUUAAUUGUAUUACCUUUGAUAUAUUCUAAAUUUUAUUUAUUUAUUUAUUUUAUUAUUGAAAUGAUAUACAUAUAUUAGUUGCAAGAAAAUAAGAAAUCGUUUUCUCCAUCUUUCGAGCAUUAAUAAUUAUUGACCCCAUAUGGCGUAAACAAAUUUGAAUGAGUCGAUAAUUUUAGUAGUGAGGGCAUGUGGGCGAUAUCUUGCCAACCAGGCCACGUAUAUUGGACCAAAAUAUAAGGGAAGUUUGUUAUUGUAUGUUUGAUCCACACUUCAAUGUUCUGUAAUCAAAUCAUUAAUUGGACCUUUUUUCCCCCCCUCUUUUCCCCCUAAACUUUAAAUUCAGUUUCUCUUAUCAUUAUUUAUACUUGUAGGGCAUGUUUGGUUGAGAUAUUAAAACUCUUUACUAUAUUAAAUUUAUACAGGCCUAUGUUUGAUAGAUAAAAAGUUAUAGCAACAUUGUAUUAAUGGGCCCAAGUUAAUGCGGCAACUGCCGCUUGCUCUUUUUUUUUGUCCUUUUGCUUCUUCUUUUUUUGCUUUC